rnacentral:rRNA from 1 species
CCCUUAGACGUUCUGGGCCGCACGCGCGCUACACUGACGAAGGCAACGAGCUUUCCUUUACCGAAAGGUACGGGUAAUCUUUUGAAACUUCGUCGUGCUGGGGAUAGAUCCUUGCAAUUUUUGAUCUUAAACGAGGAAUGCCUAGUAAGCGCAAGUCAUCAACUUGCGUUGAUUACGUCCCUGCCCUUUGCACACACCGCCCGUCGCUACUACCGAUUGAAUGGUUUAGUGAGGCCUUCGGAUCCGCGACUCGUUUGUGGAGAAGUUGGACAAACUCAGUCAUUUAGAGGAAGUAAAAGUCGUAACA